AAUGCCAUAAAACUGACAGCCAUGCCGAACCUCAUAUGUGGUCCCCAUUUUUAGGCCUUCCUGUACCUUCUGCUUAUCCUGUGCUUCUGCUUUUGCUGCACUUUUUAUUGUUACUGCUUCCACCUCACUUGCUAUUCCACGUGUUACCACAUCAAGUCGCUUGGAUCAUCACCUCCGGAACCUGCAUUCCUUCCAAUCGGCUACACCUAAUACCGAUUGCUUUUCACUACCUGCUAGACAUUCUGGAGGCCUCCUAACUGGUUGAUCUGCUGCUACCCUUUUGGUCCAAACGUAUAGCUGCCAACAACGGAGCCUCAUUCAGACCAGGUGGGCCCUGCUGCCAGUCGGAGAGACUCAGAAUUUCAGGUACCCCCUUUUUGGCUUGGUUUCUUCAGCAUGCAUCGACCUUUAUGAACAAGGGGACAAGAAUCAGACUGACCGUUGGUCAGUUUUGACCAAUCAUAGGAUGGACACACCCUUUCGCUAUCUUUUUAGGGUUGAGAGAGGAAAUAAUUUCUUUAAAGGGUAGAUAUUUUAUUUAUUAUGUUAUAAAGGUCUUAAUUUAUGUAGUUUAUUUUACAUAGAAUUAAUGUGAAUUUAUAUGAAUAAAUAUCUUUUUAUUGUUA